rnacentral:tRNA from 1 species
GGUGGGUAGCUCAGUGGUAGAGCACCUGCCUAGCACGCACGAGGGCCCUAGGUUCCAUCCAGGCACUGCCA